CCGCAGCUAGCAGAGAAGAAAAGGAGAGACGAAACCUCUCAAGAUGUCACAGAUGAAGAACAACGCAAGGGCGAUGUGCUUGGUAGCUCUCAUGGUGAUGUCUACUGCUUUCUAUUCCUGUGAUGCAUCAAGGUCGAUGAACAUAGGUGUAAGAAAUGAAUAUGAUAUAUUUUGUCUUCCUCUCGAAGGCUGCAAGGACCCAGACCCGACCCACUUAACCUUGCUCCAAUGCCAUCUCCAGUGCAAAAGUGAAGGUUACAACCCGGAUAAAAGCGAAUGCAGACCAGGUGCUUGCUGCUGCCACAAGUGAACAAAGAAAUGAUGUAAUCUAUCUAUGAAUAAUCGUGCGUGCAUGUGCUAGAAAGUUGUUGCGUGUACGGACGUACCCGUCGCGCUCUAGUUCAAUAGAUUGACGAAUUCUGCUGCUGGAUUUUUAUGUAUCACGACAACAAUUACUUGAUUGCAAAUUUCGAAUGGUUUGUUUUGUCCAA